rnacentral:misc_RNA from 1 species
CAGUCUGAUUCCAUUUUGGCGGAUGGCUACUUUCCUAUCCACUCUGUAACUUUUCUCUGUAUGUGAUCCCCUACAGCUUGUAAACAAGUACCAUUCAUAUCUUAACUUUAGAUAUUUUUCUUCUUGCAUUUACAAAUAGAAGGACUACAAUGAGUAAGACAAUGCACAUGACCAAUGAAACUGUUUUCCAUAAUGUGAUGCCACCUGAAUUGUUGAAUAAGCCCUCCAAUCCUUCUGUGCUG